CCCAGACUCCUACGGGAGGCAGCAGUGGGGAAUAUUGCACAAUGGGGGAAACCCUGAUGCAGCGACGCCGCGUGGGCGACGAAGCGCUCCGGCGCGUAAAGCCCUGUCAGCAGGGAAGAACAAAGACAGUACCUGACCAAGAAGCCCCGGCUAACUACGUGCCAGCAGCCGCGGUAAUACGUAGGGGGCAAGCGUUAUCCGGAUUCACUGGGCGUAAAGGGAGCGCAGGCGGCACGGCAAGUCUGGUGUGAAAGCCCGGGGCCCAACCCCGGGACUGCAUUGGAAACUGCCGGGCUGGAGUGCCGGAGGGGUAAGCGGAAUUCCUGGUGUAGCGGUGAAAUGCGUAGAUAUCAGGAGGAACACCGGCGGCGAAGGCGGCCUGCUGGACCGCGACUGACGUUGAGGCUCGAAAGCGUGGGGAGCGAACAGGAUUAGAUACCCCAGUA
rnacentral:rRNA from 1 species